UAUUAGUUUUUCCAUAUUUGAUAUUCAUAUUAGUUUUUUAGAGGAUUUUCUGGACGUUUUUCAUUUGUAUUUUGUAGAGAAUAAUACACAAUAUAUGUUUUGACUAUUUUUAUUCGUAGUCGUACAAAACUUUUAACUUGACUUUCGGUUUUGAAAAAAUUAUGACCCUCUCUGGAGAAAUGAAGUUGGAGAUAAUCAAGAGAUAUUAUUCAAAUGAUAAAAGCCCAACUAAAACUAGGCGUUUCCUACAAAAGCUUUAUCCCAAAGUGAAAGAACUGAGAAAUUUGAAUGCGAACACCAUAUAUCGGCUUGUGAAAAAAUUCGAAACUGAUUUUUCACUUCUGCCCAGACGACCGACGGGAAGACCAAAAUCUGUUGUGGUCGACAAAAAUAUUGAAAAGAUCAAACGGUCACUAGAAGAGAAUUCAAAAAGAUCCGUCAGAGACUUAUCAAGGCAAACAAAUUUGUCCAGUUCCACAGUGUGGAGAAUUUUGAAGAUGUUGAAGAACAAGGAAGAAAAUGUAUAGACAUGAGCAAGAAAAAGUCACAGCACACACGCGACGUUUUGAGAAAAGUAGCAGAUAUAAUACUUAAAGUUAUUUAGCAAACUGUUGAAGCUGGAAGUAGAAUUAGGCCUACAAAAUUUUAGGCGUAUAGUUGUACCUCCAAGUUCCACAGCACCCAAUUCUUAACCGCCGCCCCCUUUUGGUGGAAGGGGGAGGUGGUAGUACUAUGGGCAAUCCAUGUCAUUAAAAGUAAUGUUUUCAUAAAUUUCAUAAAACGCAACGCAUUGCUUGAAUUUUCUCUGGAGUGAUAGCA